rnacentral:rRNA from 1 species
UACGAAGGGGGCUAGCGUUGUUCGGAAUUAUUGGGCGUAAAGGGCGCGUAGGCGGUCUGUUGAGUCAGAGGUGAAAGCCCAGGGCUCAACCUUGGAAUUGCCUUUGAUACUGGCUGUCUUGAGUUCGGGAGAGGUGAGUGGAAUGCCGAGUGUAGAGGUGAAAUUCGUAGAUAUUCGGCGGAACACCAGUGGCGAAGGCGACUCACUGGCCCGAUACUGACGCUGAGGCGCGAAAGCGUGGGGAGCAAACAGG